GCUUGUCUCAAAGAUUAAGCCAUGCAUGUCUAAGUAUAAAUAAUUCUAUACUGUGAAACUGCGAAUGGCUCAUUAUAUCAGUUAUAGUUUAUUUGAUAGUCCCUUACUACUUGGAUAACCGUAGUAACUCUAGAGCUAAUACAUGCGCAAAUUCCCGACUGUCGCAAGGCGGAAAGGAUGUAUUUAUUAGAUUGAAACCAAUGCGGGUUCGCCCGGUAUUUGGUGAUUCAUAAUAACUUUCGGAUCGACUUCGGUCGAUGCAUCAUUCAAGUUUCUGCCCUAUCAGCUUUGGAUGGUAGGGUAUUGGCCUACCAUGGCUUUAACGGGUAACGGAGAAUUAGGGUUCGAUUCCGGAGAGGGAGCCUGAGAAAUGGCUACCACAUCCAAGGAAGGCAGCAGG
rnacentral:rRNA from 1 species